CUUCCACAAUGGACGGAAGUCUGAUGGAGCAACGCCGCGUGAGCGAAGAAGCUUUUCGGCUCGUAAACCUCUGUUGUAAGGGAACAACACGUACGGGAGUCCCAGCCCGUACCUUGAAGGUACCUUAUCAGAAAGCCACGGCGACCUACCUUCCAGCAGCCGCGGUAAUACGUAGGUGGCAAGCGUUGUCCGGAACUAUUGGGCGUAAAGCGCGCGCAGGCUGUCCUUUAAGUCUGAUGUGAAAGCCCACGGCUCAACCGUGGAGGGUCAUUGGAAACUGGAGGACUUGAGUACAGAAGAGGAAAGCGGAAUUCCACGUGUAGCGGUGAAAUGCGUAGAGAUGUGGAGGAACACCAGUGGCGAAGGCGGCUUUCUGGUCUGUAACUGACGCUGAGGCGCGAAAGCGUGGGGAGCAAAC
rnacentral:rRNA from 1 species